UGGGGAAUAUUGCACAAUGGGGGAAACCCUGAUGCAGCGACGCCGCGUGAACGAAGAAGGUAUUCGUAUCGUAAAGUUCUGUCCUAUGGGAAGAUAAUGACAGUACCAUAGAAGAAAGCUCCGGCUAAAUACGUGCCAGCAGCCGCGGUAAUACGUAUGGAGCGAGCGUUGUCCGGAAUUAUUGGGCGUAAAGGGUACGCAGGCGGUUUAAUAAGUCGAAUGUUAAAGAUCGGGGCUCAACCCCGCAAAGCAUUGGAAACUGACAAACUUGAGUAGUGGAGAGGAAAGUGGAAUUCCUAGUGUAGUGGUGAAAUACGUAGAUAUUAGGAGGAAUACCAGUAGCGAAGGCGACUUUCUGGACACAAACUGACGCUGAGGUACGAAAGCGUGGGGAGCAAACAGG
rnacentral:rRNA from 1 species